rnacentral:hammerhead_ribozyme from 1 species
AUCCAGCAGACGAUUCCCAAGUAGAAGGAAACGCGUGUCUUGGAU